rnacentral:sRNA from 1 species
UAAAGGAUUUUAAGAGAUUUUUGAAAUGAGAUUUUAAAGGGUUUUAAAAGAUUUACAAGGGAUUUUAAAAGAUUUUUAAAAAAGGUGUAAAAGAGUUUUAAAAGAUUAGGGAUUUUAAGAGAUUUUUAUAAAGUGUAAAAGGUUUUUAAAAGAUUUACAAAAGAUUUUAAAAUAUUUUUAAAGGGUUUUAAAAGAUUUACAAGUGAUUUUAAAACAUUUUAAAAAGGUUUUAAAAGAUUUACAAGGGUUUUUAAAAGAUUAAAAAAGAUUUUUAAAAGAAUUU